UACGGAGGGUGCAAGCGUUAUCCGGAUUCACUGGGUUUAAAGGGUGCGUAGGCGGGUAAGUAAGUCCGUGGUGAAAUCUCUGAGCUUAACUCAGAAACUGCCGUGGAUACUAUUUGCCUUGAAUAUUGUGGAGGUGAGCGGAAUAUGUCAUGUAGCGGUGAAAUGCUUAGAUAUGACAUAGAACACCAAUUGCGAAGGCAGCUCACUACACGAAUAUUGACACUGAGGCACGAAAGCGUGGGAUCAAACAGG
rnacentral:rRNA from 1 species